AAGUCGUAACAAGGUCUCCGUAGGUGAACCUGCGGAAGGAUCAUUAACGAAUAACUAUGGCGUUGGUUGUAGCUGGCUCCUCGGAGCAAUGUGCACGCCCGCCAUUUUUAUCUUUCCACCUGUGCACCGACUGUAGGUCUGGAUACCUCUCGCCUCCGGGCGGAUGCGAGGGUUGCUCGUAAGGGCUUCCCUUGAACUUCCAGGCUCUACGUCUUUUUACACACCCCAAUAGUAUGAUGCAGAAUGUAGUCAAUGGGCUUCUCAGCCUAUAAAACACUAUACAACUUUCAGCAACGGAUCUCUUGGCUCUC
rnacentral:misc_RNA from 1 species